rnacentral:rRNA from 1 species
AGCACUUCGGUGUGAGUAGAGCGGCGGACGGGUGAGUAAUGCUUGGGAAUCUACCUAGUUAGUGGGGGACAACGUGUGGAAACGCACGCUAAUACCGCAUACGUCCUACGGGAGAAAGCAGGGGACCUUCGGGCCUUGCGCUAUUAGAUGAGCCCAAGUCGGAUUAGCUAGUUGGUGGGGUAAUGGCUCACCAAGGCUACGAUCCGUAGCUGGUCUGAGAGGAUGAUCAGCCACACUGGGACUGAGACACGGCCCAGACUCCUACGGGAGGCAGCAGUGGGGAAUAUUGCACAAUGGGCGAAAGCCUGAUGCAGCCAUGCCGCGUGUGUGAAGAAGGCUCUAGGGUUGUAAAGCACUUUCNNUAGGGAGGAAAAGCAUAUAGUUAAUAACUGUAUGCCGUGACGUUACCUACAGAAUAAGGACCGGU